ensembl:misc_RNA Metazoa_SRP Metazoan signal recognition particle RNA
GCCAGGCAUAUUGAUGCAUGCCUGUAGUUCCAGCUACUCAGGAGGCUAAGGUGGGAGGAUCGCUGGAACCCAGGAGGUCAGGGCUGCAGUGUGAGCCAAGAUGGCGCCACUGCAGUCCAGCCUGGGUGACAGAGCGAGACCCUGUCUCAA